rnacentral:lncRNA from 1 species
AUCAUAUUUUACCAUCUUUCUCUUCCAUUAAUUUUGGUGUUUCUUCUAUUGAUGUGUCUUCUAAUCCUAAUACGAUUUCCAAUUCACCACCUACCUUUACUUCUUAUUCUUCUCAUGUCAUAAAGCCCCGCUCUUAUCUUAAAGAUUACCAUUUAUAUUCUAUUCAAAUAGUUCUUACUUUACUUCUCAUCCUUUGUCUAAUGUUCUCAGUUAUGACAAACUAACUCCAAACCACUAAGCCUUUGUUUAUGCCAUUUCUUCUCAU